UACGGAGGAUGCAAGCGUUAUCCGGAUUGAUUGGGCGUAAAGCGUCUGUAGGUGGUUACGCUAGUCGGCUGUUAAAGAUCAGGGCUGAACCCUGAGCAAGCAGUCGAAACUGCGUGGCUGGAGUACGGUAGGGGCAGAGGGGAUUCCCGGUGUAGCGGUGAAAUGCGUAGAUAUCGGGAAGAACACCAAAGGCGAAAGCGCUCUGCUGGGCCGAAACUGACACUGAGAGACGAAAGCUAGGGGAGCAAACAGG
rnacentral:rRNA from 1 species